rnacentral:rRNA from 1 species
UCCGCAAUGGGCGAAAGCCUGACGGAGCAAUACCGCGUGAGGGAGGAAGGCUCUUGGGUUGUAAACCUCUUUUCUCAGGGAAGAAGAAAGUGACGGUACCUGAGGAAUAAGCAUCGGCUAACUCCGUGCCAGCAGCCGCGGUAAUACGGAGGAUGCAAGCGUUAUCCGGAAUGAUUGGGCGUAAAGGGUCCGCAGGUGGCAUUGUAAGUCUGCUGUUAAAGAGUUUGGCUCAACCAAAUAAAAGCAGUGGAAACUACAAAGCUAGAGUAUGGUCGGGGCAGAGGGAAUUCCUGGUGUAGCGGUGAAAUGCGUAGAUAUCAGGAAGAACAUCGGUGGCGAAGGCGCUCUGCUAGGCCAAAACUGACACUGAGGGACGAAAGCUAGGGGAGCGAAUGGGAUUAGAUACCCCAGUAGUCCUAGCCGUAAACGAUGGAUACUAGGCGUAGCUCGUAUCGACCCGAGCUGUGCCGUAGCUAACGCGUUAAGUAUCCCGCCUGGGGAGUACGCAGGCAACUGUGAAACUCAAAGGAAUUGACGGGGGCCCGCACAAGCGGUGGAGUAUGUGGUUUAAUUCGAUGCAACGCGAAGAACCUUACCAAGGCUUGACAUGUCACGAAUUCUAUUGAAAGAUGGAAGUGCCUUCGGGAACGUGA